AGAAUCAACGCUGGCGGCGUGCCUAACACAUGCAAGUCGAACGCGAAAGGGACUUCGGUCCUGAUUAGAGUGGCAAACGGGUGAGUAACACGUGGGUGACCUACCUUCAAGUGGGGGAUAACGUUCCGAAAGGAACGCUAAUACCGCAUAUUGUCCCGUCUUUAGACAGACGACGAUGAAAGCCGGGGAUCGCAAGACCUGGCGCUAGGAGAGGGGCCCGCGUCCGAUUAGCUAGUUGGUGAGGUAACGGCUCACCAAGGCGACGAUCGGUA
rnacentral:rRNA from 1 species